GCCCUGGUAGCUCAAUUGGUUAGAGCGUCGGACUUUUAUCUACAAGUUGGAGUUAUCCAACCGGGUCUGCGAUCCGAAGGCUGCGGGUUCGACCCCCGCCUGGGGCG